GACGAACGCUGGCGGCGUGCUUAACACAUGCAAGUCGAACGGUAAGGCCCUUCGGGGUACACGAGUGGCGAACGGGUGAGUAACACGUGGGUGAUCUGCCAUGCACUUCGGGAUAAGCCUGGGAAACUGGGUCUAAUACCGGAUAGGACCACUGCCUGCAUGGGUGGUGGUGGAAAGCUUUUGCGGUGUGGGAUGGGCCCGCGGCCUAUCAGCUUGUUGGUGGGGUGAUGGCCUACCAAGGCGACGACGGGUAGCCGGCCUGAGAGGGUGACCGGCCACACUGGGACUGAGAUACGGCCCAGACUCCUACGGGAGGCAGCAGUGGGGAAUAUUGCUCAAUGGGCGCAAGCCUGAUGCAGCGAUGCCGCGUGAGGGAUGACGGCCUUCGGGUUGUAAACCUCUUUCAGCACCGACGAAGCGCAAGUGACGGUAGGUGCAGAAGAAGGACCGGCCAACUACGUGCCAGCCGCCGCCGUAA
rnacentral:rRNA from 1 species